rnacentral:rRNA from 1 species
GACGAACGCUGGCGGCGUGCCUAAUACAUGCAAGUUGAGCGCUGAAGGUUGGUACUUGUACCAACUGGAUGAGCAGCGAACGGGUGAGUAACGCGUGGGGAAUCUGCCUUUGAGCGGGGGACAACAUUUGGAAACGAAUGCUAAUACCGCAUAAAAACUUUAAACACAAGUUUUAAGUUUGAAAGAUGCAAUUGCAUCACUCAAAGAUGAUCCCGCGUUGUAUUAGCUAGUUGGUGAGGUAAAGGCUCACCAAGGCGAUGAUACAUAGCCGACCUGAGAGGGUGAUCGGCCACAUUGGGACUGAGACACGGCCCAAACUCCUACGGGAGGCAGCAGUAGGGAAUCUUCGGCAAUAGACGAAAGUCUGACCGAGCAACGCCGCGUGAGGGAAGAGGGUUUUCGGAUCGUAAAACUCUGUUGGUAGAGAAGAACGUUGGUGAGAGUGGAAAGCUCAUCAAGUGACGGUAACUACCCAGAAAGGGACGGCUAACUACGUG